AUUGAACGCUGGCGGCAGGCCUAACACAUGCAAGUCGAACGAGUGGCGGACGGGUGAGUAAUGUCUGGGUAACUGCCCGAUGGAGGGGGAUAACUCCUGGAAACGGUAGCUUAUACCGCAUACCAUCGGAUGUGCCCAGAGGGGAUUAGCUAGUGGGUGGGGUAACGGAUCACCCAGGCGACGAUCCCUAGCUGGUCUGAGAGGAUGACCCGCCACACUGGAACUGAGACACGGUCCAGACUCCUACGGGAGUCAGCAGUGGGGAAUAUUGCACAAUGGGCGCAAGCCUGAUGCAGCCAUGCCGCGUGUAUGAAGAAGGCCUUCGGGUUGUAAAGUACUUUCAGCGGGGAGGCGUUACUCGCAGAAGAAGCACCGGCUAACUCCGUGCCAGCCGCCGCGGUAAUAC
rnacentral:rRNA from 1 species